GAGUUUGAUCAUGGCUCAGGACGAACGCUGACGGUGUGCUUUAGGCAUGCAAGUCGAACGAGAAAGCCCUUCGGGGUGAGUAAAGUGGCGAACGGGUGAGUAACACGUGGGCAACCUGCCCCUCGCAGGGGGACAACCGGAGGAAACUCCGGCUAAUACCCCGUAAGCUCUACGCGCCGUAUGGCGAGUAGAGGAAAGGUAGCUUCGGCCAUCCGGCGAGGGAUGGGCCCGCGGUGCAUUAGCUAGUUGGUGGGGUAACGGCCCACCAAGGCGACGAUGCGUAGCUGGUCUGAGAGGAUGAUCAGCCACACUGGGACUGAGACACGGCCCAGACUCCUACGGGAGGCAGCAGCCAGGAAUCUUGGGCAAUGGGCGAAAGCCUGACCCAGCAACACCGUGUGGGCGAUGAAGGCCUUCGGGUCGUAAAGCCCUGUUGAUAGGGACGAAGGGCGAAGGGUUAAUAGCCCCUAGCUUGACGGUACCUUUCGAGGAAGCCCCGGCUAACUACGUGCCAGCAGCCGCGGUAAUACGUAGGGGGCGAGCGUUGUCCGGAAUUAUUGGGCGUAAAGAGCGUGUAGGCGGUUCGGUAAGUCUGUCGUGAAAUCCUGGGGCUCAACCCCGGGCGUGCGAUGGAUACUGCCGGGCUAGAGGGUGGUAGAGGCGAGUGGAAUUCCCGGUGUAGCGGUAAAAUGCGCAGAUAUCGGGAGGAACACCAGUAGCGAAGGCGGCUCGCUGGGCCACACCUGACGCUGAGACGCGAAAGCUAGGGGAGCGAACAGGAUUAGAUACCCCAGUAGUCC
rnacentral:rRNA from 1 species